rnacentral:lncRNA from 1 species
CUGUGGAGCGCUACACAUCCAAGGCUUGUGCUAAGCACCUAGGACAUCGCUCCAGCCUCCAGGAGCUCACAGGGCUAACAGGCACAGGUGGGGAGAGGAAGCCUCAAGGGAAGGGGUCCGCCCUCUCCUGGGUGAGUGAGAAAUAACACUGCCAAUGAACAGCAAUCUGUGCAGUCAAAGGGGAGCCUGGAAAUCUGGCCCCGACUUUCUGCCACAAGCCAUGCCAGGGCUCAGGAAAGUCCUCAAGCCUUGGUGGGUCUGACCUCACUCUCUACUGGUGUGCGGGCUCUCCCUCCAAGACCGAGUACCAGGCUGAACUGAGCACCAGAUGCAACCAACUGCUGGGAAGCGCCCAGUUGCCACGGCAACAGCUCCUACCCAGGUACAGAGGGUGCAUCCUGGCAGCUCCCAAACACUACAGCUGAGCAAAAGAGGCCCGGAGCCUAAGACUUUCUCCCAUAAGCCUCAGGGCUCCUCGGCAGAGCUGCUUGGUUCACCAGAGGCGAGGUCACCUGUGCACAGCAGGCAGUCUCAACCCCUUCAAGACUGAGAACACCUGGAUAGCCAAUUUACUGGGUUGUUCAACUAUGCCAGAAAGUCUCCAGAAAUUGUCCUGAACCAGUGUUCACCUGGAUUCCCGGAAAGGCUGACUGAGAUUCACCUGAGGGACACCACCAAAGAGACAGUCCUUUCAUGGAAAGGGAAGCACCCUCAGCCAUAAAGACUCCACAGCUACAAAAGACACGCGUGCACACAUACCCACUCCAGAGCUGUGAUGUCGGUAUUGAGAUAAAGAUCAGCUGGAUCCCAGCCCACCAGCUCUGCCUUUGUGGGUCUAGUCUGAACCCCUGCAUCAUUGUAUGCCCCCCUUAGGCAUCUAAACUGGAGUCUUUUUUAUUAUCUCCCCUCCAACAUUCCUAAUAAAGAUUUAUUGCUGGGCUACAGAUGGAGCUCGGUUCCGCG